UUAUACUAGGCCAUUAUAACAGCUAAAGGCAGUUCCCUAGCAACAAAAAGCUUCUUGAAAGAGAAACGGCCAGUAAGAUGUAUCUUCGAGGGUUCAGUCUAGGCGGUUCUACUCUCUGGCGGGUGAAAACCCGCCAUUUUCCGCGGAAAAGCUCCCGCUCUUCAUCCAGUAUAGCGACGCAUCAGUCAGUGAACAAGACUUUGACUCGGUCUGUUGUAGCACUUCAGCAAGAAAUACUCGCCCAUCGAAGCUCUCCUCAGCUUGAUUGGCAAUACUUGAAUGAUUUAAAUGGGGGUCAGCUAGGGCCAAGCAUGAAAACUGAAGUUCCUGGUCCCAAUUCCAGGCUUCUCAUGAAAGAUCUAGGACAAUUUCAUCAAAACAGCAGCAUUGCUUUCUUUAUUGAUUACGAGAAAUCUCAGGGAAACUUUGUUUCAGAUGCAGAUGGGAAUGUCCUCCUUGAUCUCUUCCAGCAAAUUGGAAGUUUACCUCUAGGGUACAAUCAUCCUUCAUUAUUGAAGGCAGUGGAAAGCCCAGCCACAAAACUCUUCCUUGCAACACGUCCAGCUUUAGGUGUGACCCCACCAAUGGAUUACAUUGAUCAGCUUCACUCAACACUUAUUUCUGUUGCACCUAGCAAGCUUCAUUAUGUACAGCCAAAAAUGUGUGGUACCUGUGCUAAUGAAAAUGCACUCAAGACAGCUUUCAUUUGGUAUAGGAACAAAGAAAGAGGCUGGAAACAGGUUCAAACUGACUCUGCUGAAAUGAUGAGUGCUUACAAUAACCAGGUUGGCUCAAUUAUGAUAACAAGUUCAAAGUUCUUAAUUAUAAUCUCUAUUAAACUCUCACAGGAGCCGGGCAUACCAAAGCUAAGUGCACUCUCUUUCACUGGAGGAUUUCAUGGACGCAGCAUUGGUUGUCUAUCUGUGACUAACAGCAAACCAAUAUACAAGCUUGACGUUCCUAUGCUUAAUUGGCCCAGAGCUACAUUUCCCGAAUACAAAUAUCCACUGGAGCAUUAUGAAGCUGAGAAUCUUGCUGAAGACUCACGCUGUCUUGAAGAAGUCGAAGAAACUAUUUACCAGCAUUUGCAUACUGCCCCAGUGGCUGCUGUCAUCGUGGAACCAAUUCAAUCAGAAGGAGGUGACAAACAUGGCUCACCAUACUUUUUCAAAGGACUACAGCACCUUUGCAAAAAGUAUGGAGCUGCUCUGAUAGUGGAUGAGGUUCAAACUGGAGGUGGUGGUACUGGUAAAAUGUGGGCACACCAGCACUGGAAUCUCCUUGAUCCACCUGAUAUUAUAACGUUCGCAAAGAAAAUGUUUAUUGGUGGUUUCUAUUGUAGAGAAGGAAUGCUUCCAAAUGAACCUUUUAGGAUACAGGGCACGUGGAUGGGUGAUCCAUCAAAGAUGUUCAUUCUUAGAGCUAUGCUUGAAGAAAUCAAGAGAGAGAACCUGCUCCUGCUGGUAGAAGAGACAGGGAAAGUCCUCCUCUCUGGCUUAAAAGAAUUACAAGAUCAUUAUCCAGGUAUGCUUCACAGUGCAAGAGGUAAAGGUACAUAUUGUGCCAUCAGUGCAAAAGACACUGACACACGUAAUGAGCUAAUUGUUGCUCUUCGUCAAAAAGGUUAGCAAGUCUAGCUGGCGGAGAGUGCAUGCACUAUAAGAGCCUUUAUCUGUGUUUUUGUUUGACAUUGUUGCAGUGUGACUUCAACUUGACGCAAUCUCCAGUGGGUUUUCUGUUUGGGGGUGUGGUUCGGACUCGAUCAGGUUCCGGCCUGCACUUAUUUGUCUGCCGAGACACGUGUCAUUGUUUCUGACAGGCUUUGAGGACGUUCUGAAGGAAAUGUCAAAAAAGAAAUAAUUAAUUCUGGCUCUUUUGUUUGCUUUGUACACUGGCUGCAUCAGUUGGUGAUUAUCAUUGGCAUUCUGAAUAACUUUUAUUUUAUUUUAAAAAUAAACAAGUUAUUAAUAAAAUGAAUGAUUGAUUAAAUUGGACAGUUAUUCUUAACUAUAAAUAGUUUUAACUUGU